rnacentral:rRNA from 1 species
UACGAAGGGAGCUAGCGUUGUUCGGAAUCACUGGGCGUAAAGCGCACGUAGGCGGAUGUGUCAGUCAGGGGUGAAAUCCCGGAGCUCAACUUCGGAACUGCCCUUGAUACAGCACGUCUUGAGUCCGGAAGAGGUGGGUGGAAUUCCUAGUGUAGAGGUGAAAUUCGUAGAUAUUAGGAAGAACACCGGUGGCGAAGGCGGCCCACUGGUCCGGUACUGACGCUGAGGUGCGAAAGCGUGGGGAGCGAUCCGG